GGAAAGAGCUGGCUUGCGAGCUCCCUGCUUAACAGAAGGCUCAGUUGCCCAAGUGACGAAGGCAUUGUGGGGCACGAACCAGGCUUUGGUGAAUUUAUCUCAUUAUACACCAGGAGUUAUAAUUUAAAAACCAGUGUCAUAUAAAGAAGAAAAAAGAUAUGGUGAGAUACAAUACCAUUAACACUUCUUCAGAAACGGAUUUUAAAGCAGAACUUCCAUGACUGUGAAAUCCAACCGGGUGCGCGACCACGAGGAAGGAUGGCGAGGGAGGAAACCGCGCUUUGUUGUUGAGGUGAGCCGGGUGCGCGACCACGAGGAAGGAUGGCG
rnacentral:lncRNA from 1 species